rnacentral:lncRNA from 1 species
CGUUGCAUCGGCACUUCUUGUGGAUCCGCCUGUAAAGGUGUUUACACAUGGCAAACUCUUCUACCGCUCAGCGCACAUGGACGACAGUCGCGGACACCUCUUCGUCGGAUCCAUGGAGAAGCUGUUCCAGCUCCCGCUUGACGACAUAAGCAGCCCAAAUUUGAAGGAGCUUGAUUUGAUGGCUCCAAGCGACAACGUGAACAAGUGCAGCGUCUACAGGGGACAACAUCGGGUACGGGACACGUUGGAACGCUCGGUCUUAUACGUUAUCUUCCAUAGCGUAUAGACAUGCAUCCGUGGUUUUUGGUAAGCGCCGAGGCAAAGCGGUGUGGGU